rnacentral:rRNA from 1 species
CCCUUAGAUGUUCUGGGCUGCACGCGCGCUACACUGAUACUUUCAGCGAGUCCACCACCUUGCCUGGGAGGGUGGGGUAACCUCUGGAAAGUGCAUCGUGAUGGGGAUCGAUUAUUGUAAUUAUUAAUCUUCAACGAGGAAUUCCUAGUAAGCAUGUGUCAUCAGCCCGUGCUGAUUACGUCCCUGCCCUUUGUACACACCGCCCGUCGCUCCUACCGAUUGAAUGUUCCGGUGAGCUCUUCGGACUGCGCGGUCUGCAGUUUCUGCGUUCCGUGCGGAAAGUUGCGCAAACCUUAACAUUUAGAGGAAGGAGAAGUCGUAACA